rnacentral:rRNA from 1 species
AUUUGAAGAAAGUUAUYUUGGAGUUGGCCCUUGUCUAUGUUCCUUGGAACAGGACGUCACAGAGGGUGAGAAUCCCGUGCGAUGGGGUGCCCAUUCUAUGUAAGAUACUUUCGACGAGUCGAGUUGUUUGGGAAUGCAGCUCUAAGUGGGUGGUAAAUUCCAUCUAAAGCUAAAUAUUGGCGAGAGACCGAUAGCGAACAAGUACAGUGAUGGAAAGAUGAAAAGAACUUUGAAAAGAGAGUGAAAAAGUACGUGAAAUUGUUGAAAGGGAAGGGUAUUUGAUCAGACUGAUAUUCAGUUAACACUGUUCCUUGUGGACGGUGCUCUAGCUUUUUAUUGGSCCAGCAUCAGUUUAGGUGGCAGGAUAAGAACUGUUGAACGUGGCUCUUCGGAGUGUUAUAGCUUCAGUUGAUACUGCCUAUCUAGACUGAGGUCUGCGGCUUUGCCUAGGAUGCUGGC